rnacentral:rRNA from 1 species
GACGAACGCUGGCGGCGUGCCUAAUACAUGCAAGUCGAACGAGUGGCGGACGGGUGAGUAACACGUGGGAACCUACCCAUCAGAGGGGGAUAACUACGGGACACUGUAGCUAAUACCGCGUACCAUAGGAUGAGCCCAAGUGGGAUUAGGUAGUUGGUGAGGUAAAGGAUCACCAAGCCGACGAUCUCUAGCUGGUCUGAGAGGAUGCCCGGCCACCCUGGGACUGAGACACGGCCCAGCCUCCUCCGGGAGGCAGCAGUGGGGAAUAUUGCGCAAUGGGGGCACCCUGACGCAGCCAUGCCGCGUGAAUGAAGAAGGUCUUCGAGUUGUAAAGUUCUUUCGGUAGCGAGGCGUUAACUACAGAGGAAGCACCGGCUAACUCCGUGCCAGCAGCCGCGGUAAUUC